GUGGAUAUAUUUAAAUAUAGAUCCAAGUCACUCCGAAGUCGUAACUUGAUUGCCUAUACGUUUGCUCAACUCUAAAAAAAUUAUUCGCUACGUACAUCUGUACGUAUGUGUUAUACACGUACGUACCUAUGUACCUAACUCAUUUACUUUCGUUCCGCGGUAAAUGUUUUAUCUCGUAUCGUAACGUAUAUUAUAUGAGUUCUAUCCCGUUCUUUUCUUUUCUCUAUUCUUUAGCACGUUUCAGCUUACUAAACGGUCGUAAAUGCGUUUAGUAUAAUUACUCGACGACAAUCUUAAUCAGCGUAGAUUAGCAAAUUAAUAGGUUUUCGCACGGAAAAGGAUAUAAACUUAUGUACGUUAGUUGAGUUGAGUAUAAAAGGAACAUGCACGCUCCGCAGCGAUGGGGUAAAAAGUGAAAAAAAUCUUUUCAUUUGUUGGAAACAUUUUUGUUUUCAAUUCUAGAAACUGAUUCGAUUCGCAACGUUUCAUGGCUCGUUCGUUUGGAUCUCGUGCAUAUUAGUAUACCGUCGAAAGGAGAAAAAAAAAAAAAAGGUGAAAUUAAAAACUUGAAAGACGUGUUGACGUCAGAAGCUGCACAGGGUGAUGACUAGUUAUAUGCUUAUGAAGUUAGAGUUUCUGUCAAACGUCAGGCAAAAAUAAAGGAGGAGGAAAAGAAAAAUAAGAAGAUGAAUAAAAAGUGAAAAAAAAAAAAAAAAAAAACACAUUCAACGUAGGUAUAUAUCCUUGACGGAGGCAAAAAGCGUGGCAUCUUUGCAUUGUUUUAUGAAAAGAUGCGCCAACCUAUAAAUACGCGUAGGUAUACUCGUAAUAGAAAAGAACCGAGGAGCGACGAAGAUCGAAAUGAAACAGGGAAACAAAUUACGUAACUCCAUUUGUUAUCGUCCAAGUUAUCUGUGACGUUCACAAUCCAAGUUCUUAAAUGUUGCCGCAUCGGUUAUUACCAACACUGUGUACCAUCUAUGGUAUAACUGCAGAUGUUUCUCGGAUCUCGAAUAGUAAUACGAACGACCAUCGAUGUGUGAAGAGCAAACAUCACGUUCCAAGAAAUCAGAGCACAGCUCUAAUUCUAUGCAAACAGUCGACCGGUAUAUUUUAGCGUAUAUAUAAUCUAUAGCGACAACUUCGGCGGCUCAGCAAAUCCGCGCAGGUGUUAAUGUUGAAGAGGACUGCUCCGAAUGAACAAGCAAAGAGAAAAAAAAUUUCCGCACGGAUUUAUAUUCCGUGGACGAAAUCAAGGAUAUAUAUUAUACGUCGAGUGUCAACUACCCCUGUGGGAAAAAGGGGGUGUGGCACACAAGUUGCGUGGGAAUGGCAAAAAAAAAAAAAAUCAAAAAAUC